CCGAACAGUUAGACAGAGAAAAAUCCUCCAAGAGCAUCUCGACCUCCAGCGCAUCGCCACCCGCUGCCGCGAGCCGCCGCCCGCCGGCCCCAGCCCCGCCACAGGCUACAGCGCGCCGCCACCGCCUACCCCGCCGGCACUCCUACCCCUACCCCAAGUGCCUCCCACGCUCGCUACGUUCUACCGCCGGCGACACUCGACGCCGCGGCCGUUGCCGGCUCCCACACCCGCGGGCCUUUAUCUCCCCGGCGGCCGCCGCCGCCGCCCUGCUUGUCCAGCGGGCUGGCCCUGUCCAUGGGGCGUAGGGGCUACCCGCGCCCUUCGACGCCCGCACGCGCCUCCUUCUGCCCUUCCGCCGCGGACGAUGCCGACUUCUCUGAGUCUAAUGCGAUCCUGGUGGUGGCCAUGCCCUGCGAGAGUCUGCUGCUGCUCAGCCCAGCGUCUUGCCGUGGCGGGCGCUUGUCGUCGGAGCUCUGGUUGUCGGUUCCAGAGUCGGGUGGUUCCACACAGGGGCGCAUAUCCCGUUGUGCCACCAAUCACUUAAUUCGGCUCUCUUGAGCUGCCCGGCUUCGGCGGCGAAGAUGAUGGCGAUGCCUAGGACAUAACGGCCACAUGGGAUGAAACUAGCAGAGAUGAAGAAGGCGGUGGUCGUUGGGAGGAGAAGAUUGCCCGGAAGCUGGAGGACGUGCACCAGCUGCGGUUGCUGGACAACCGCUACGUUUAGUGGCUGAGGGAAUUGUUGGGCUACGAGAAUCAGUCGCUGAUAAGAGGGCUGAGGCUGAGAAGAUCAAGAGGGAUCAGAGAUUGUGCUCAAUUGUUGGUGGUCAGGACGUCAGUUUGCAGGAGUUAUCUGAAGAAAGGACUCACUAUCUGGUUAAAUGUUCCAUUGGAUGCCCUUGCAAGAAGGAUUGCUGCGGUGGUUCAGCGUCAUUGCCCCUCCUGCAUCAACAAUCUGGUGAUCCAUAUGCAAAGGAGAGUUGAGACUUCUAUCUCAUAAGAUAUUCAAUGGAUAUUAUGUUAAACUAUUCUACCUCGGUGUUUGCCCAGAAGAAACAAACUCAUGUUCAGAAGAGCUAUUUUGUGUACAUGAGUUGCUACUGGCAGUGGACAGAUUGUCUAUGCAGAGUGCGUAGAGAAAAAAAUGCUCACAUACAAACACAAACGACAUCCAGUAGGCGCUUGGAACACCCGACAGAUUGAAAGCACAGAAGCAAAGAUUUCCAAUACGAGGCCACGAUGCCCGACAGAGAUGUAGCCAAUAUGUGCCCAAUCCUUAUUUCUUGAUGUUGGAACAACAAGGCAGAUCCCCUUCCUCUUCCCCACGCACGAGCGGGCGUACCGCCGCCGCCGCCGCCUUCCUCGCGGAGUCUGCGGCCGAAGGAUCGGUUGGGACGCACCGUGUCUAGGUCGGCCUUCGGUGGGGCGCGGUGCGAGCUCUCGGCUCGGGGCAGGAGGCGACUCGAUGACGAGGAGCUGGGGCGCGGCGCUCCUCUCCUGGUGUGGCGCACGAGGGAAGGAGGAGGGGAUCGAUCCAAGACGGGAGCUGAGGCCGGCGGCGCCCUUCACACAAGCCUCACCGGCGGUUCCCUGUACACAAGCCUCACCGGCGAUGCAGCGGGAGAGCUCCGACCCGUCCAUAGGUGCGGGGAUGCAGAUCCGCGUCGCCAGCCUGUACUAGGCCGAGGUUGACGCGCCGGCGCAGGGGUCACCGUCCAUCUUCGCCAGGCCUCCAGAGUACUCCAGCAACAGCCACUGGACGGCAGUUCCUGGAAGAACAAAGAAGUUGCAUGUCCUUUUAGUCUGAAAAUCACAUUGAUCCUUGGAGCAUGAUGGGGACAAAUCGCACAUAUGUCCUGUACUGCACACACGUGAAGGCAAAGGAUUUUUCUGAAUGCCAUUGUUGUCCGGUACACAGUGUUUAUCAGUGAGUAAUUUGCCCCUUUCGCAAUGUGAUGAUACUGGCAAUAAGGGAAGCAUCAUAUACCAUUGGUUUUGCUGAACUAGAAAUAACACAACUACAUAUUGAUUUUCUGCUUAAAUUUCACAAUAGAUAUUUUGCCGGAUGACCCACUGUAUGAGGAUGCCACAUCCUUUCUUGCUCACCCAACACACGGCAUUCCUGUAUGUCGUUGUGUGCUUCUCAGUACAGUAGAGGUACCACACGGGGUGGUGACUGGGAGGCUGGUACAUGCUAGCACGGCCAAACAGCUGGUUCACUGCGAUCAGGGUGCUAGAGGCUCUUGGGGUUGCAGCUCGCUCGCCUGCUGGAGGUACAAUGUUGAUUAUUUAGAGACCUCAUCUUCAUGAGACUAGCAAGGGAUGGACAUUCUGAAGAAGAAGAGAUGAGGUGAGUUUCUGAAGUUCACCGUCCAAUCCAAGUAUUAAAGGUGAGCAUUACUAUUCAAAGGGACAUAAUUAACCUGUUAAAUUAUUCUUAGAGCAAGGAACCAGUUAUUAUCUAACCGAAUAACUGUAAACUAGCUUCUUUUUCUAAAAUGAGGUGUCGUCUUUAAAUAGAUAUGGACCAGAGAGGGGGCUUGAGAAAUGCUAAUUAGGCUAGAGGCGUAUGAUUUUUUUUCUCCCGUUGCAAUGCACGGGCAUGUUUGCUAUAAUAAUAAAGCAUCCAGUGGAGGGGUUUAGAAAAAUAGAAACGGUUCUAUUUGAUAUGUAAUUUAGAAAUUAAUGGCUGGAGGAUCCUAAACUAACAUAUGGCAUUUUGUUUCAAUUUCUCUUUACCUGAUUGUGUUACUUAUGCACAAUCACCAUACUUGACAUAGGUCCCUGCACUUCCGUUGACGAGUAUUUUGUCAGCAUCUCGAUGCGGAGGUACAACUUUAGCUGAUCUUCGUCAUGUUUUACAUUGUUUCUCAGUACUUUUUACUGCAAUGUGGAGGUCAGAUUCUAGCUGAUAUAUCUUCAUGCUUUACCUUGUUUACCAAUGUCCCAAUGUGGACGUAAAGAUUCUAGCUGAUAUAUCUUCAUGUUUUACCUUGUUUACCAAUGUCCCAAAAUUUUGUUUCGUCUUUGCUUUGAAUUAAUUUUCCUUACUUUGACUGAGUAGGACAUUUAUUUGAAAUACUAAAUUGUGGUGUCGCUACCUCUAAGGACCACAGCGUUGUAGCGCCCUUGGCACAAGGUGACCAUCUUCAGCGCAUCGUGGUGUCGCUGCCCACACGAUCUCUACAGACACCACAAAAGGCUACAGGACCGACAAGGCCGGUGGCCUGACCACUGAAUCACGUUGUUGUGCGGGCGCCUUGAUCUUGCAUGCGGCCUUCUAAAGCCCCAGGGGCCAAGCUCGCUGGAGCGUCGCCGACAGGCUCUCUUUUGCACAGGAGAAAAUGGUUGGAUAUAUGUGCCUCCUCCGUCUCUUAUUCCCUGAAAUGUAAUUUGAUGACUCAUUGAUGUCACACUCGCUUAGGAUUAAACUGCACAGGUUAGAUUGACAUUUUGCCCUGUGUUUAAUUACUACAUGCACUGCACGCUGAUCCAUGUAUAUAUUGGCUCCCCUAUAUAUACCUCUAUUGGUGAAAAGUUUUGACUUU